rnacentral:rRNA from 1 species
UUGACCUCAGAUCAGGUAAGAAUACCCGCUGACUUAAGCUAU